UACGAAGGGGGCUAGCGUUGUUCGGAAUUACUGGGCGUAAAGAGCACGUAGGCGGAUAUUUAAGUCAGGGGUGAAAUCCCAGAGCUCAACUCUGGAACUGCCUUUGAUACUGGGUAUCUUGAGUAUGGAAGAGGUAAGUGGAAUUCCGAGUGUAGAGGUGAAAUUCGUAGAUAUUCGGAGGAACACCAGUGGCGAAGGCGGCUUACUGGUCCAUUACUGACGCUGAGGUGCGAAAGCGUGGGGAGCAAACAGG
rnacentral:rRNA from 1 species